CCCUCCACCCUCAACCCCCCCCCCCCCCCCCCCUGCUCCCUGGGCAAAACUGAAAGGCAUUGAAAGAGGUCAAAAGUCUUGCUCCUGCAUGUAAUGGGACAGUUACUAAUUUUUGACACAAUCCACCCCUGAAUUGCAUACAUACUCAAAGGGAAUUAUGUCCCUUCUGCUGAUUCAUACCUGUGAGUGACGACAGAAUAUAAGAAUAGCAAGAUGGCUGUUUGAAUAAAUGAGGGGCUGCGGUGCAGGUAAGAGUUACUUAAUUUCACAAAAACACACCAUUUGGAUACACAACAUUAUCAAUCCCCUCCGUCUACAAAAAAUCUAAAAUAUAUUCACUGCGAUUGUCUCUGUUCCAAAACAACUGUAGUGCUGUCCCACUCUGGGACCAUCUAUUCCAGUAUAAAUCAAAGCUGUUCUGUGCGGCAAUGUGUGUGUACCAAGUGAAGAAAGGCAUGCAAGGCAAUGGGAGAGGAAGGCUUGUCUCUCUUUCUCUCUCUCUCUCGCGUGUUGUGUUCAUCAUCUACCCACCAGUAGGCUACUCCAUCUUAUUACUCCUGCCAUAUGACACGCGCCUCAGAUCACACGACCCAUGAAUAAUAUACGACCACGCCACCUCAGCACAGAUGAAAGCGCACGCAGUGCACUGUGGGUUGGAUACAGUGGGCUGAAAAGCGGAGGUAGCGAGAGCAGGAUGAUGAUGAGGAGGAGGAGGAGAAAGAGAGUGCACACACAUACCAUGCGAAAGGCCUGAGAUUUCCCGUCCUGUGCGAAUACGUUUCAGUCCCACCUCCAGGUGCAGCAGAGGUGACAGCACACAUCAGUGUCAGCUCACGGUCGAGAGCCGGUGGCACCUGAAAAGAGCGAAGAGGGAGGGUAGGAAUGAGAGGGGAAGAGAACAAUGAAACAGCAGCACAUACUCACUAUACAUACACAGGAAGCGUUUCUCUCAGGAGAUGUGAUCAGUGUGAGGCAGUUUGCCCGCCUGCGCUCUGCAGGGACACGGCGUUUCUCCCUCUCGGGGUCUGGAAGAAAAAAACAAACACUACUUUUGAUCAUGAGGACCUACUCCUCGCCUGGGAGCUUUUGGAAAUAGGCGCAGAUGCAAAACACAGCAUCACCCUGUCUCUUGUUUGACUAAACACACAUUGGUGAUAACGACAGAGAUACUGUCACACAAACUCUACAUGUAGCCAAAAAGACACACACACACCCGCAAGGUGUAUGCUUAGAGGUGUAUUGAGCGGCAGAGCAAGGGAUUAGGUGGACCUAAUGUCAUCCAGGAUACUACUUUCAGCAACACCCACUGCAACAACAUUGUUCCCACAAGCCUCAAGUUGUCCAUUCAAGAUCAAGGUUGUUACAUCACACCAACAGCUGUUAAAUGAUAUGAGCUUAUACUUAAUUUUUUAUAGUCACUCACUGCGUAUGUUCCACAUAGAACAGUGAUGCGUGCAGUGUUGGGUUCCCAUUGUGAAUUUCCAUUAUCGUGUCACUGUAAAAAAAAAAAAAAAAAAAACAUUCAGCUGCAAAUCCUACGAGGAGCCAGACAGCAGGCGACAAAAGGAUUGUCGCGGUGAGCAGACCAGCACCCACAUUGUGUUCUUGUCGAUGGAUGGAGAAGACAACGGAGAAGAGCGUUUUGGGAGCUUGACCCCGGCUACCUUGGCUUCACCUCAGGUAGACAUGGUUAAGAUGGAUGGCCCUAAUUAAAAGAAAGAGCCUCUCUUCAUCACAAUGGCAUCAGGUUUAUUUUACAGGAACUUUAACGGGCCCUUUUGUGAGGAGGUAAUUAUAGGGUAAAGUGAUUAGAGCUCCCCGAAGGCAUGGAGGUGACAGACAGACUCGGUGGAGUAACCCAAGUAACCUUUCAUUAUGACAUCUCUUCCUAUUGUCAUUCACACCGACACUAAUUUCUUCCAUGGAGCAUCUCUCUCUCUCUCUCUCAUUUCACUAUAUGCAAGAACAAUGCUCACAUUGCCAAAUGUGGCUCCAACCAACCCCAGACAAAAGGUUAUAGAGAUCAGCUUUCCAACGAGGAGGAGGGGGGGGGGGGGGUCACGUUGGCGUAAGGGCAUAAGGCGGAUGACUUUCCUCCGCAACAAUGGCCGCGGGCUGCUUCGGGAGCAGAGGGCUGGAUGCUUGGCGGAUGACGCACCUUGUCCCGACCGUUUAACAUGACUGCUUACGCCAACUACAUGAGACCAGCCCCUCGUGAGACUCUCUGGAGAGGAAAUGCGUGUCCGACAUAGCAGAGAAUGAACUAAUCUGCUGUUUAUUAAGUGUGGGGUAACUUGAGAUUGGCGAUUUAAAUGGAGAUUUGAGAGUGAUACGACCGACCGCUCCGUAGGCGCAGUCACAUGGCGCCGCGGCUUCUCUCCUCGGUUUCAGCAUAUGGGCCUCGCUAAAUGUGUGAAAGACUGCAAGUAGCGUGUACCCUCGCGCUUGCCAAACGGGGAUCUAGCCGGUGACAGUGAGCCGCUUAACAAGGAUUCCGCAUUACUGAUAUUUCAGAUUAUUUCGGGGAACCGACCAGGGGACUUGGACGUAUCUUUAGAGCGACAGGAAAAAAACACGAGAGCACGAGCGCGGAGACGUGCCAACACCAGCUCUUGUCAUUCAAGAGGGCUGAGUUUUGGAUUUGGGGUUAGGGAAACACGAUAAUGGUCACUUUAAAACUCCGAGUCAUGUUUCAAAUGCCUGCACCCUCUUCUUUUUGGCUCCCGGAGAGAGCUCGACUUCCGCCUCAUUUCACAUAAUUACUAAUUGUGUUAUUUGCGUACGCCUAUUAGUGGUGUGUGUCUCUGUCCACGUGCCCAGGGAGUGAUCUUUACAGUAAGCUCGCUUGAGCGGACUUGAGAACCAUUGCCACAUACUUAGAUAUCACAAUCAAAGCUAUUUCGGAGAAGCAAUUAAAAUCUGUUUAGCUGACGACAUUUAUGAACGCACACAGCCAUAGCAGGCAGUUUGAGGAGUUUGGGCAGUCGGAUACUAUUAUUAAGCUCCAGUCUAUUAUUAAGGCUACAUGGUUCAGUGUCAGACCAAAGGUUAGGUGAGGCAUGAUUUCAGAUUAUAGAAUACAGUCCCGUCAUUGUGCUAUAUAACAAGGCUAUUUAACAAUACUGCUAAAAUAAAAGAGUGCAACUAAAAUUCUUCAAUUCAAUUUUUAGGAACAAAUAAUAUAAUGUAAUAUAUUUACUUCCACAUUUCAGUAUAAUUUCUAUUAAAGAGGUUUUGGCUGGACAAAGGGGACAUUUCAGUCUUGAUAUACCACAAGCUAUAAGUGGAAAAUGCUUAUUCAUUUUUUAUGAGGUUUGAUUCUUUUGCUUUUCUUUUUGGGAUUGCUUUUAGUGAUUGCAAUUUUUGUUUAUACCUAUCAGUUGAACGGAAGCGACCAUUAAAGUUUCAUUAUCCCAUUUUCCAGCAUUUUAAAGUCUCUAUUUCAUUCGUUCUUUAAAUGAGGUCCAUUUUCCUCCAGAGCAUAAAGACGAAGGUCACGGCAUGAUCCUUAGCUGCAUACAAACAAUAUCUUAGGCCGGAUGGCCUCCUCUAUUCCUACAUCUCCCAUCACUGCCAACUACAGAAAUAUAUUUAGAAAAGGAAAAAGUUCAUCUUUUUGUUCAUGGUUAAAUGAGGUAAAGGUUUGCGGAAAAGGGAUCGAUAAGAUCAUCCUUUUUGAUAUUUUUCAAAAUCAAUAUAUUGUUUCGGAUACAACUCAUCAUAUUGGCCAUAUCACACAUCGUUGCAGCACAGGGCUCGAGUCAACAGGGAUAUUCGGUGCAGUCCACGCACACCGAGAGAUAAAAACACACAUCAGUUGUCUGUAACAUGAGUUAUACGGGCCCAUUAUGACACGUCGGGGCCCUUGUUGAUUCUGACCCCGAGUGUAGCAGUACGGAGUGUGUCAAUUGCACACAGGCAUUCCUCUGUUAUCAAAGGCUAACCAAAAGCCAUUUUAAGACGAUGGUAUAAAUCACUUAGCGGCCAACUGAGGUGUGCUUUAUUGCGGGCAUUGCCAAGGGCCUCUUUUGUCAGCUAACGUUCUUUUGAUAGUUCUGCCAAUCGCAGCUAAUAAUGCAUCUGAUAAGAUAAGCUGUGGCCGGGCUCUUUCGUGGGGCAAGGGACUUCCCUCAACCUCCCCCCAGCCCCCCUAGUCGUGUCAAUACCCCUUUGUAAGGAGCGUGUCCGAGUCAACACACCUGAGCACCAACGGCGGGAGGCUGACAAACUCAUCUCGGGUCAACGUGUUCACUCCAGUCGCCGUGUGUGCGUUUGUGACAGGGAGGGGGCAACACAGAACAACAGACCGGGCUUUGUGCCUGCUGUACUUGCCUCACUAAUAACGGCCCUUUCGACAAGCUUGCUUGACAGCUGGGUGGGACUUUGAAGAAUUCAUAAUGAAGCGGUGCCUCAGAUUAGCGCAGGAGCGGCUGCCUUUGAAGAAAAAGCUCAGGUUGUGAGGUCCUAAUUAGGAAUGGCCUAUUUUUGUUUGAACACAUGCUAAGGAAAGGGUGUUUUUUUGUGUGUGUGUGUGUGUGUGUGUGUGUGGAGUUCCAGCUAUCAAAUACUUUUAAAAGCUUGAUUUCCCUUGGGAAAUGACAGGGGUCAUCUCAUCGGCGAGGGAUGAAAACAACAUUUGCAUCCAAUCGGUCACACCCACGACAUUAAAGUUUUAGCCAGACAAAAACAUGUCAAAGAAAUUUACAUCGCUGCGCUGACAGCCCUACAGACUGGCGGACACAGCCCAUUGCCACUUCCAAUUAUUAAGGCUACUUUUAUUGUGUGUGUGAACUCCAUAUUCUCCAUUACCAAUAAAAACAUAAUGGGGAGGGGAUAUUUUUUUCUUUGUCACAGGCAUUAUCAUCCUCUCCAUCCGUUGAGUGUGUAUCAAGCUGCCAAUCAGAAUUAGGGAGUAGGCUAGCAGACUUGAGAUGAUUCGCCUGGCUCAGCCCCCCAUGCAUGGAUUUAAAUAAUAAAAGAGAGAUUUCUCUCAAGGCCCAGAGCGCCGUGCCAAUAAGAGAGCGGGGAAAAUGGGAAAAUGGCUGUGUGCAACGAGAAAUAACUGCAAAUUGAGGGUAUAAUGAACACGUUUAAUAUUUCAUUUCUCUGGAUGAAAAUAUCUAGAGUGGGCGGCCUUUUUUCAUUUGCGCACUAUUUGGUGGAAUUAGGCUUUUUUUCUUCCCCUCAGAAACCAUGAAAGAAUUUCACCCAGCUGGUGAGUAUGCUGGAGGUAUAAAGACGGUAAUCAUUUACAAUUACACAACACACAAUCCCUUCAUUGCAAGCUGUCUUUCCAUCUCAUCGACGUGAAUCAAGAGCUCAUGUGGGUGUUGGCCUAAUGAUAAGAGAUUUGCCCCCUCCGCUGUGAUUGGUGGCCAAUGCAAAGAUUUUCUCUAUGCGGCGCAGUGCUGUAAUCGCCACCAUUUAUGCAAUACUUAAUGGCACAUAUUACCCACUACCCUUUCAAAGUAAAGCUCUUCCUGUUGCCUUUACAGUCUGGCCUGUGCACGGGAUAUAUCCUUUCUGAGUAUACAUCAUCACAUUUUUCAUAUUAGGUGUCCCACACACCGUAUGUGACUUUUAAAGCUGGAGCCAGCUCGCUAUUUAGCUGUCAGCGUGAUUCGCAACAACUCAGUAACAAUAUGGCUUCCAAGUCUCCUUCUGCGAAAGGAAACCUAAUGUGGUCAAGUGAAUUUUGCCUCCUUUUUAUGGAACCAAAAUUGCGUGAAAUCUUCUUUAAGAUAUGACAAUAUACUGUAAGCUCCUACGUUUUAUUUUUGACACGACAAGGAGAACUGUUUUUAAAGUUUUAAAAGUUUCGAGUUCAAAAACUUUUCCAUCUGCCGAAAAUCGGAGUAAAUGGCCUCAAAUAUGUAUCUUAAGUGAAACCAGGUCGGUUGAGUUGUUUAUCUUGCCUUUAGUUCACUUCUAAUUUGGACUGGGGGACUUCUCCCAGUGCCGAGACUGGGCAGGCAUUUCACGGGAUUUCCCCGGCCCGUUCCCAUUAUUUCCUCCCAAUGGAUAAAUGCACCUGAUAGCUUUCUCUUCAUAUUAAUACUUAUUGUACUUGAUGCUCUGUUGAAUUCACCUCUCUGAAAUCUCUUUUAAUGAACGUCAGGAACCUCUUUUGGUCUUUUUGUGUGCUGGACCAAGCCUGUGAGAUUCGAAUUAGUUUAUUUGCGCGAUAGGUAUUAUUAGGACUGUUUAGUCCAAGUCCAAGGGUUUAAAUUGAGGGUAAUAUGAUUUAUUAAAUGAUAUAAUUUAUCUUUACUUUUUUAUCUCUAUGUCAUCACGGGAGGCAAAACUGUUGUCAAUAAUACGUAUAAGUGAGAUGCAGCUCUCUGCUGUUUGAACACCGUGAUAAUGAAGUCAUCAGAACAGAGGUACCAGAAACAUUAAUUGCCUUACAUGAAUCAUAAUUACCAUGAUGUCUGUCUGUUGUGAGCAAGCGUGUAUUACCAUUACUUGGUAUUAAGGUAUUACGUUCAUUAGACUUUCUGAUUAGAUACAUUACGCUUUUUGUUUUGUGCCAUAAAUCAGCUUCAAAGGAAAACUCUCCGACUAGAUUUGGUAGAAAGAGGUCAAGAUACACACCAUUAAUUCAAUAUCUCCGGAAACAACAAAUCUAGAACAGAUAGACCAAUGGGCUCGACCAGUUAAAAAUUAAUCUUAGCUUGUCCUGAAUUUGUGUACUGCUGAUUACUGAUUUACGCCUUUUUUUGCAUUGCUUUUAAUCUGCCGCUGAAUCAUAAAUUAUUCAUCUCGGCAUUUCAAAUAUUAAACCCAUGUAUUCGUUUAAUUUAUCAUCUGCAAAAACAAGGGGCAAAAACAAAACUGCAAACUAUCAAAAACCUUCAGUUGUGCUUGAGUCGGUCUCGGGAGAAGACAAAAGAAUUUAUAGCAUGAAUUGGAAGUUGUUAUGCAGCAUUUAUGAGAUGAAUAUGGUGAGAUUAAAACCAGGCCCUUUCAUUUGGAUUUCAUCAAGCAUAAUAGUUUAAUUAAUGAGAUGAAAAAACAUUAUAUAGAAAAGCUAAGCGCACCCAUCCUUCUUGAUAGUUCUACAGUUGCCUGAUGCAAUAUAUUUGCUUAUAAAUGAAUAGCCAGAUAUAUCCUUUUUUAUCCUUUUUCUUUAAUCGAAUCCCCAAACUGCCAGGUACGGGAGGGGUCAGCUGCUCGUCCCUACGCUGUGGACAUCUCGGACGGAGAGCCAGGCUAAUCCCUCUGCAGAGGCUCCGUUAGUUAGCGCACCGACAUCCACGGCAUCUCAGCGGUGUGGAGAUGAUGUGUUUGUGUGAGGUACAGACACCUCCACCUCCGAGGCCCCCUUUCUCCUGUUGUGUUUCUCUGUGAUCUUGCAGUCAUGUAUGUGAUUGGAUUUUGGCUUAACAAAAACCUGAAAUUACACACCUAUUGUGUUUCAGCUAAGCCCGCUUUCACUGCGAUAGGGGCUGGCUCUGCACGGCUCUCUUGGCUGCCGACUUUCGGGAUCCCGCCCCUUGUCCUCUCUAGGUUGUUGAAGGAAAAGGAUAACAGGAUUAGGUCAGGGUUUCUGGGGAGCAUCGAUUGCCAUAUUCGGCAAGCUGGUUAAAAAAACAAACAAACAAAGAAGCUGCGACACGGGUCGCUAGCUACGGGGUGAGAUGGGCUCGGCCUUUACCCCUGUGUGAGGGAAGAUGUCACCUUGGCAGUGCAAGGUGACACGGCUUUGGAGACAGGGGAGAGGAGCUACUCGCCAUCCUCUAAAGCACACUGAGGGACUCUGACACUGCACCAUCUGUGACACUACCCCCGGUCCCCUCAGGCUAUGCUUAUACUCAUCACAGAGAUGCUGAUAACACGGGGUGUGACUAACACGCCAUACAAAUCUCCACAUCCCAGGCACAGAGAGAAACAGAAAGAGGGGGACACACUCACACACACACACACACGUAGACAUUGUCUACAUCUACUAUCAUAACCAGUUGUCACGAUGCAGGUCGCUCUCAGCUAUUGGGGGCGUGUGGGUAUUGGUCUAUGAUGAGUGGGUGGACCCAGACAGGGUAAUGACAGGGUAGGACUAUGUACGUCGAGUUGUUUGUAAUUAAAUUUGAAACUGACAGUCCUUUCAUACAAAUGUGCUGGGGGGGGGGGUGAAAGGUAAGUGAGAGAGGCCGAGCGCUUUGCCAAGCUGGAUCUUAAUGGGGCCAGAGUAUCAUAUUUGUUACAGAUCUCUAGAGGGGAGAAUUCAAAACCCUGCUACCCUGUCUACUUUAAGACUCCGUGAGGGUUGUCAUUCUCUAUCUGCGGAGAAGUGAUAAUGAUAUUCAAAGAAUUAUGUAGAAAAAUAAAGAUGAAAACCUUGCACUGGUGCCGAGGUGAUUUUGAGUACUCAGAGCUUUGUUACAGUUGUCAGGAAACGUUGUAUCAAAUUCAGUCAGCGCCUGAUGACGACAGUGGACCACAGAGUGCAUAAUACACAUGCACACCGUCCUUUCUUCAUUAUUGUUGGCCCGGGGCUGUUAUAAGAAAAUGGGGGUGGAGCUAAGGAAAAAACAGCUGACCCUCUCUGCUUUCACCUUCUAUUCACUCGCACUAUACAGGCCUGUAAUACCACAUGGGACACACUAGCCCGUGUGUGUGUGUGUGCUUUACCUGACCACUACAUACAGGAGGUUUUCUCGUGCCCCUGAUCCUUGUUUCCUAAACUGUCGGCUGGGGGAACACUGUAAUGACCUCCCACCUCAGAAGCGCACACGUUCACAACAAACACACAGGCUGCCCUCCUGGUUGUGUUUCCUCUUCCUUAGCUUCGUGGCGGUUCCUCAUUAUGAAGACACAAUGGGAAGCAGCAGCGUCUGUCUGGGCCAAUAGCGCUAAGCAUAAAUAAUGCAAGGUCAAUGUCUCUCCCCUCUCUUUUCUCUCACUUUUCCCCUGGGGAGGGGGUGGGAUCUGAAGCUCUGACACACCAGCAGGUCUCUUUCAGCCCAUUUAUAAGCUGUGUGUCCUCUCAACUUCCUCUCUUCUUCUUGGCAUCUCUCCUCUCUGCCUCUCACUUUUCUAGCCAUCUCUUUGUUUGUGUUCCCCUCUCUUCAUCUCGUGCUUUGCCUUCGCUUUGCAUUUACUUUUUGUGUCAUUUUGACCUCUCUUCCCCUUUUAUCUUCUGCCCUCCGUCCCUCUCACUUAUUCUCCAUCCUUGUCUUCUUUCCUUCCCUUGUCCCUCUACCCUUCCUCCAUUGCAGCCAUUCCAGGCCCGACUUUUAUUCACACACCUUUUUAUAAUUUCUCCUCCCUCAGCUGUCUGCUCAUCGUAUUUGCUUCACUCCAAAUAUUUUUCUAUUUCUGAUUACUCUUGCCUCCCCUUAUUUUCAGAAGAGUACAUCUUGGAAAGUGGAGAGGAAGGAGGGGAGAAGAAGAUGAGGAGGAGGAGGGGUGGGCGAAAACAAGGCUCCCUAGAGCCAGAGGGACAGCUUAUCCUUAUCGGGCUUCAACCUGCUUAUUAGAUCCUCCAGGACACGCCACGCUCUUCUCUUAAACAACACCUCCUACCCCCUGCUCCAUAUCGCUCUCCUCUCUAUUCUCUCUUUCCCUCCAUCUUAAUGCGGCUGCGUCUCAGCGUAGAGCAGUAGUGGGGGGUUUGUUGGGAGGUCAAAAUGGUGCCUUGGCCUGGAACAGUGCCGUUACAUUGUUUGAGUAUUGAAGUGAACGUGUGAAACUUUAUUAUUAUAGCAAUCCGUAUGGAAUUACAACACUAUCAGAAGUCAACCUCUGUCACUUGUGAGCGUGUGAGUGAUUACAGAAUCGAGAGUUGGAGGGGAAACAGAUGAAGGAAACAAGUCAGUGCGUGGUCUCCUACAGAAGUCAUUUACUUCUUCUCCUCCGGCACCACAGGUCAAAGACAGUCAGGCCAGGACGCCCCGUUCUGCCCCCGCACCAUCUGCCGUUCCCCAGGAGCUGCCAGGAUGUACCCCCACGGCGCCUGCGAGGCAGCAGCCCUGCUUAUCGCCCCCCACCCAACCUGCAUCCAGCACCCGGCACCCACUCGCAGGAGGAAGCAGCCUGUCAGAUCGGGAAUCUGUUAGAAAGGCAAAGAUCUCUAUACGUAGAGUACAAGCUCAGAGACAGAUGAACAACAUUGCACAAAAGGGAGAUAUCUGUAGGUAUUGUGACGACGGUUACCCCUGUCGGCGUCCCUGCCCAGCAAAUGAAUGACAAUGGUUAUGUUUUUGCAGCAACGUCAAAGCCAAGUGAGAGAACUGCUUAUCUGUAUAUGUGUGUGGGGCAGGAAUAGAUGAGAGGCACGUGGUGAGCGUUUCUUGGAGUAACCGUAGGCCAGCCCUCAUGCUGCUUGCCCUCAAACCCAUGGAGACUUAGUUGAAUGCCAGACCUCCAUGUGGAGUCUUAAGAUAGACCAACUCGGGCAGCAACAGCAUAGAGUAUCAUAUCUCUGAGAUCCUCACCAAAGACAAGACCCCAACAAAGCGCCCACGCAGAGAUUUACACCAGCCACUCAAAGCAGAGGGGCCUGACUGUGGACACACACUUGCACGCCAUCCGAUUAGUCAACAUCCAUCAUAUCCUGACGGGGGGGACUCCCUCCAAAAAUAAAUGUAUAUUUAGGAGCCUCGCUGCAAGGAAGGGGGGGGGGGUCUAGUUACAACAGCCACUCCAGAGGCUAAAAUGAAUGGCCCUCAGAACAUCACGGGAGUGACAUCCGAGCCCCUCGGAGAACCAUCAGCAAGCAGCGGUGAAGAAUUCCACAGCUCGCCGCCACGUCCACACCAAUUCUCACUGCCGCGUCGAAGGUGUCUUAAUGGCCUUCGCUCGCAGUGCAAAGCAUGAUGGGAGGUAUGCGCAUCCGCGCGUGCUAAUUAGUGCAGACAAUAUAGCAUCAUCAUUUCCGGGUGGUUUUGACAGAAUAUUUUUUAGAAACCACUGAUACACAAUACUGCAAUGGUGAUAUAACCAUUACUACUUAUAAUUAUCCCCUUAGUCUCAUAACUUAAAAGGAAACACUGCAAUGUGCCCCAACAAUUGCAGUCUCUGAAUAUUUUUAUGAAAGGUCAUCUUUUAACUUAAACGUUUAAACAGACGUCCUUUCGGAGCUUAAAUAUAAUAGAGUCCAAACAAUGUGUUGUGUGCCCACACUAGCCAGCAGUGUGUUGGGAGGUACAGGUUGAGCAUUUCACUCUAUAUACAAAAGGACCACACUCUAAGAUGAGCAAAGACAACACUUAUUCAACAACCUCCAUCACACACACACCAAAUCUAUAUCUAAUAUCUCUGUGUAGCCUUCGUUUUUACUCUCAUACGCACACACGCACACACACACACUUGUGCUGCUGUGCAAUAGACUCACACCAUCAUAUUGUGUUAAAUGAGGAACUAAUGACAGCUGACAGGAGACAGACCAAUUAAACCUCAUCAAUUCCUGCCUUCCCUCUCGGAGCUGCCAGCAAACACCCCAAUCAACAACUUGAUCAGUCAGAAGGUGACACUGCAAAGGAAUGGCCACACCAAAUCAUCUAAGAACAGUAGCGGACGUAUAGCUCGCCCUCUGCCUGUAAAAGAGGGGGCUUCAUCCAUUGGUGUCUGUUAAUGAACCUGCAGGUCCACUGGAAUUAAUUAAAAUGAUGAAACCAAUACCUCAAUAAUAAAAAAUACAAAAAGUAACGCAAUCUGACAAACAGAGCAUACUUAUAGCAUAGUGAUCCUUCAUAUGAUCUCCAGUGUCAGAACGGCGGAUUUCUGGCUAUACAAAAAGAAUUUAAUGCAAGAUUCUGGCAAGAGGGACGAAUCAUUUGGAAUCAUCAAUUUUAAAAAUAAAGUUGGUUUAAUUUAUGGACAAAGCUGCAUGUCUUACUUUAUGUGUGUCUAAAAUCCAAUCAAACUAAGAUCAUAUAACAUGUCUUUGAGCAUUAUUCAUCGUCUGCGCUGCAUCCCAAAUUUGAUCCCCAGGCAAAAUACACACUGAAACUGGUGGCCCUACUAUACACCAAACUGUAAACCAAACAUCAUGUGUUUGAUGACCCCAGCCGUGAUAAAUGGGCCUCCAAAGGUCAAUAAUUCUGGAUCUUUUGAUCACAACAUAUGGGCUUCGAGCUGUCACAACUUUGACCACAAAAGUGAGCAGCAGAUACAUCCGAAGCCCCUUGAGGUGUAUCCAGCAUAUUUCUCCUUCCGCAUUGGAAAUCAAUAAGCAGCAAAUUAUUUAUGGAAAAUAUACACCGUGUUGAAUUACUGCCGCUGGAGACCAUGGGUAUUUUAUACAGGAGGCUGACCACACAAAUGAUGCAUUGACAGCACCUGCAAAGUGACAGGUGACUCACUUCUAGGCCCAGCAGAUAUGGACAGAUGAGUCUGUGUGUGGUUGUCUGAUUAUAUGGAAACGCAACUUCCACCUAUGACUUAAUUUCCUCUCCAAGGUCUAAACAAUAACAAGAAAAAACUUGUGCAAACUCUUAUACAAUAGCCCUUUGUUUUACAUAAACUCUCCUGUGGCCAUUGUAGCUCCAUGAAAGAUGUUUUAUCUUCCUCUGUUGACCCACUUAGGCCACUGUUGAUAUAUGUAUUGAUUGCAUCUGCUGUGGCUGUCACAACAGAGGCUCACAAUAAGAAGCGAUGGAAUUGGCCAAAGUAGCACAUACAGUAUCCAAGCUUGGAAAUGAAUACUUAAGAUGAAAAGCACUUCACUUACAUGCUGUCAAAGUUGGUCAGGGAAAUCUGCUCAGGGAAAACGUGUAUCAAAAGGUAACAAUAUACAAACUACCAGGUAUCAGGACAGAACAAGUCUAUUUGUGAAAGACAAAAGGUGAAAACAGGCAGCAGCAGCAGAAACCAAAGGGCAAAGAGGCCGCACAAGCUGAUUUACGACUAGCAAGGUGGAGGGCGCCGGAUGCCCUGCUCCCUGUGAUCACAGCUUCCGUGUUGUUGUCCCCCCCCCCCCAUUGGGAUGCUUCCACUCCACAGGCCAAAGUUGACGAAUCCAUAUACUUUCGCCUUCUCCUUUCAGCUAUCUCGGUGCCACCCCCUACCUCGCUUGGAAUCACAUUCAUCAUGUUCUCACAUUAUAAAUCACUCCGGCUAAAGUGGGUCUGAUAACUGUAGCAUCACUGUCAAAUGGCUGCUCCCCUAAUCGGCCUUCCGACAGCCCCACAGGCCAUGAGACCACCAUGAGUGUCCGCACUCUCCCUCAACAGGGUACCACCGGGAUGCAGAGGGACCAUUUGUGCGGCUGCUGCUGCUCAAGCUUUUGGUAUAACUUCAGCUCCAACAUUUGACUGUCACGUCACACAGAAAAUUAUGAACACGGUGCCCCGGAAGGCCCCACAGGCCCCAGAAAGGGUGUUACAUUGUCAAAACAGCCUUCUUCAGCCGCUACACAAUCAUCAUUUUCAAUUUCCUUCAGUCAGUCAAGAUUGAAGAGAAGCUGUGGAAACACAGCAAUUACCCUUCCCAUUGUGGGAAAUCUGACAAGCAGAGGAAUAUGUUUGUUUAAACCUGCCGGGAAAAUCAACGCUCAACCUGACUGGAGUGGCAGGAGGAAAAGGAUAUUUUGACAUUAUUUGACUAAUUUACAGCGGACUCUUGUCGGGGUGGCUGCAAAAUAAUCGAACAGUAAAUAAUAAGUAAUGAAAGCUAUGCAGCUUGUAUCAAUGAAAUAUGUUGACUGAUGAGGCUCUUAGUUUGUACUAUUUUUGUUAAGUUUAAUGGAUAGGUUUCACACCCUUAAAUGUAGAAAAAUGCUUCCCCAGUGGCUUUAACAAACCACAAUACAAAAGUGUAAAGAUAUAAAAACAGUAAGUGAGCAAGUGUUGUCGUUUGUGUGAAUUAUGACCGUAAAGAUCAGUGGCUGAAGCCUUGCCUACACAAACAGGAUGUGUCAUGGAGGACACAUGGGGGUCUUCCAGCAUGAGGAGCUUCCCGCUCACAGCUUCUGGAGGCAGAUUUAUCAUCCAGAGGUUAAGGGUGGGACACUGGCUGAAGCGAGGAGGGGGGGUCAGCCGGCUACGAGCAGGCAAGUUUGCUUUUACGUGUUUUCUUUUCUUCCCUUUGGAAAUCCAGGGUGGGGGUUUGAUGGUUGCUCACCGUGGGCCCAAGUCCAUAAAGCUGUGAGGGGAGAGCCGCGGCCACAUGUCUGACGAGUAAUGUGAUCCCAAGGGGCUGAAUGCUGUUAACUUUUAUUACUGUAAAUACUCGCUUUUUGCUUCUGUCCUGUCUCGCACAACCCAUGGCUACUUUUAUGUGCGGCUCGUGUGUGACUGACCUCGGCGAUGCACUCAAGGCCUAUUUGUGCGCAUCCAGUUUAAACGUAAACUGGCACAAAAUGCACCGCCGCAAAGUAGCUUCGGAGACCGAAAGGAAAUAUGGUGUCAGCAAAGGUUGCAAAAGAAAGUCCUGUAUCAACAAAGACCCACUUGUUUCAUUGCUGAAGCAGAUACCCAUGAUAUAAAAGUCUCUACACAGCAGAAAGGGACGUAAUAAGGUGCAUGAUUAAUCACUCGUCCAUAAAUUUAUACCGACGUACGGUACAGAAUAUACACACAGUGAAAAUAAAAGCCAUUCACUGAUGAUUCAAGGUACAACGCAAGAAGCUCCUGGAUGUUUAUUUAUGGCUCGUCUGUUUGAUAGCAGGAGAUGUGCAUGCAGACAGACAGUCAGACAGACAGGGCUGUGUGGGGGAGAUCAGUGAGGUAGAGAGCCCUGAUUGAUAAACUCCCUAUCUGGCUAUUUACGAUCUGGCUGCAGAAGAGGCAGGCUUCGCCAGACAGAAAAGCAAUUAAUCUGCAAACGAGCUGGGGAACAGCCGGCCUGAGCAUUGGAGCCUCCUACCAGCGUCGCUCUGGAGGGGAGAUAAGGCUGCAGACGGCUAUUUAUUGUACAUUUUAAUUAAGUGCUUGUUAACGCUAGUUAUCUUAACAGUCACAAAAUUACCGUUGUAAUGCGUUUAGUUUGAGGAAAAAUGGAGAGGGUUGGAGCACUUUAUGAAGGCUGGCACAGCUUGCCUUCAUUUGAAAUCACAGGAUAAAUUCAGAGGAGGCGGAUGCCACAAUGAUCUAAGCUCAGGCACUAAUGGUUAUUUAAUAUGGCCAUCAGCGGUCCCAAGUCCCCAGCAUACGGCACUCGCACAAUAGCCUCCAAACCCUCUUUAACACUUAUUUGAGAUGACAGGAAAAAUGAAACCGUUUGUGCUUUCAAUGGAAAAGCAAUCAUUGGUACAUUAUACUCCGCUUGCCCUAUCAUGCUAAUGCCGGGUAAAAAUGUCACCAAAUGUAUUUAAAGGCCUGAUGGAGUGUUGCCGUUUGAUUCCUGCUGCCUGCCUGAUUAAUAAAAACCUUCAAUUUGUAUGUAAAUGCAACCUGGGGCUCAUAUCAUCUGCACACCUGCACCUGGAGAAAAAUAAUAAACUCAAGUUUAAUGUGGCAAUUAUGAGAGUUUAUGGGGAUUGUGGGGAAGAGGGCGGCAGCGGUGGAGGCUGGCGUGAUGAGAGGGCUCUGGAGGGGAGUGUUCCGACCCGGACCAGCCCGCUACAGGAAUGACUUGAUGCACAAACAUAACCCAAGAUCGCAGAGCUUACCAUAACAUGCAUGCAACACGGGCCGGUAGUGAGGAUUGAGGCCAUUCAUGGAUGUUUUGUUGGAAGUAUUUCUUGGUUUGACAGGCAGUUAAACUCCUACUCAUGUGGAAUAAUUUGUGUACUAUGUACUAUGUGCUUUUCCGUUCUACAUUCUCAGCCUCACACACACUACUUCCUCAAGGAACAACGUGAGAAAGUAUUGACUAAAUGUGAGAAAAGUAAAGAUUACAGAGCAAAGAUUAAAAGGUGGGUACUGUUGACUGAGCUUGAUGCAACUUUCACCCACACACACUGGGGCUUUGAAGCCAGUUCUGUCCUCCCUCCUUCACUGGACUCGGCACUAACUUGUCUCAGCUUGCCCAUUGUAACCUUUCAUGAUUAGCGCUCCUCAAGCUGGAAGACCGAGGAGAGGAAAAGACCUACUGAAUAUUGUGACAACCACCUCUCUUUCAGACCAUUCAACAGAUAUUGGGCCGAAACAAUGACAGUAGUGUAUUCACAAACUGAUGCAACUAUCAGUCAGACACUGAAAUAAAUGGACAAAAAGGGACUCAAACUGUGUGCAAGGACUCUCCAGUAUAUUACAGAAUGAACACAUUAAAUGCCCUUUCCAUAGAUGUUUCAUAAGGUCCGGUGGCCCCGGCUUUGCAGUAACCUCACUAUUGGAGAAGAUACAACCACACACACAGUACGCACAGGAAAGUGACAAAGCCCAUGCAAAAAAAAGAAAGAAAGAAGGUGAAUACAGUGAUUUGGAAGAGUAUCAAAAACUUCUUUGGUCUGUAUUAUGUGGGUGAGUAGACUGGAGCGAUGCGGUGAGACGGUGAUAAUAGUUAUCUGCCAAGAUGAUCUGCUCGGGCAUGAUAACAGUGCUACACCCGUGCGCCUGUGAAUCAGUACCUUGAAAGAGCAGAAGAUGUGGGUCCUUCUCUCAACUCGACGGAGAAAAAAAAAAAAAUCCCCACCUGCCUAAUGGCUUUAGACGGCAGCCAUUCGGCCUCGCUAAUCUUCCGUCUCUCUGAAAAUAACUUUUUGUGCUGUAUGAAGAUUGGAUUUUACAGAUCACAACGGCAAGGCAAUGCAUUCACUCAGCUGUACUUCUCAUGAGAAACGUAUCGUGAUCUCUAAUAGUAUUCUGUAUACGGCUUCAGCCAAGCGCUACCUUUAAAUACGGUGGCGUAUUAAUAUUAAUAUUUAUGGACUGUGGAGGAGCGCAAGCCGUCUGAGGGUACGGGCAGAACAAACUUCCAUUAAUUCCUAUGGAGGGGAAAGUCCAAAUUAAUUCCUAUUCACAUUUUAAUGCCUUUAUGCUAAUGCUGGUUCAGAGGGAAAGGACGGUGAACCCACAGGAGGAGGAGGGUUAAAGUUGACUUGUGCACCUGAGAAAUCUCACUUCACACGGGGAAAUUGGCUAAAAGAGCUUAUACAGCGGCUACCAUUUGCAGAAAUCACACAGUCACGCUCUCCGGCCCCCAUUUGAUUUCCAAGUGCUCAAAGAUUGAAGCCGCUCUUUCAUGUUUCUACAUUACUACAUUUAACUGGGGGUAAAACCGAAAGUUAGCAAACAUAAAACAUUGGUUGUAAUCGCUUUUUGCAAAGUAAGUAUUGGCCAUUCGGUCUGUUUUUUAAAAAAAAGAGAGUAAGUCCUGCUUCUUCGAACUCUUUUAGGUAUUGUCGCUUCAUUCCUGAAUCCCAUCGGUUUAAAUGAGUGAGUAGGAAGUGUGUUAUUAAACAUGGAACUCUAACAAUAAGUACGAAUGGAUCUAUUCUUACAAACGAAGUGAAAAUACCAAAACACAAAUCCGACGAAGAAACCGUUUCUAGACCCCAUCUGGCUUUUUAUAUUCAUCUGAUCAGUGAUUCCAACACCUCCUGGUUGACUCCCCUGUGUCCCAGAGGGAAAAUCCAAGUCUAUCCGUUCUGGUUUGUCUGGACUGGUUAAUGUAGUGCCGAGCCGAGGCAAACGCAAAUAGAUUGCACUGCUAGCAAUUGUGGGGGCCCCCCUCUCCACCCCACUGUGUUACAGCUGUUAUCAUUACAUAUUUACUUGGAGGACAAGCGCGUGCUCCCUCCAGAUAGGCCCUUAUCAGUACAUGUCUAUGUUGUGACACCUGGAGGGUAAUUGUCAUUAAUUGCACUCAUUUGGGCGGCAGGUCAGGGCAACUGAAGCGCAGGUGUUUGGGAUGAAACAUGAUUAUUUCCCAUCCAAGGAACGGAAAGGCUGGGAAAGAAUGAGUUUGCCACUGUGGAAAGCCCCCACAUAACGACUGUCCAUUUUUCUGGUUUUAUCACACAUUAGCGUGUAAUUGGGGCUGGAAAAAAAAAAAAGCGGGGAGAAUGUCAUCAUCAUUAUUCGCUGCUUUCCUCCAUUUCCUCUAUUCAAAGAGGAGAUGGAGCACUCUAUCAGUUCAGAAUGGGCAAAUUUAAACCGCUGCGGUGACCCGGCAGUCAACGCAUCAGCCGCUGUACUGUUGUGAGCGUGUUAUAUCACACCGAUGGGGACAACUGUUCAUUUACAAAAAUGCCUUUUUAAUAUAAAGACAUUUUAAUAUCUUGACGUUUAAUCUUGUUUGUACCUCAGACUUGUAUCCUCUGUCAUCAUUUGGGAAAACAUUUCCUCUGAGCUUUGGAGAAGUAAGAAGAGUCACAGGGGAAGUCACAGACUGGAGGUGUUACCAACACGCCGCCCAAUUGAGCCUUAAGAGAGACGCUGGUGUCUGCAAAAUUUACGAGAAGUUUUAAUUGAAAAGGCAAGAACGCAAAACAGCAGUCUUUUAUCUCCUAGCCAUUCAUCUGUAUGACUCUAUUAUUAUCGGAUUACCUUGUGAUCAAGCCAUGUCGUGACUCAGCUGCUUAGAAUGUGAAGCAAUUAGUAGACGUCAUGUUCUGCAUCUUCAUGCCCAAUCAGAAUGCAUUAAAAACUAGUCCCUCCAUUGAAUGCAGUAGUAUUGAAACAAACAAACAUACAUAUUUCACAGCGCAUAACAAUCUUUUUUUAGAUUUUGAAGCUCAAGUCUUUCCUCCCCUGCUGUUGCUGUUUAUCUGCAUUUACCCUGAGACUGACAUGAGUGUGACACUGACACACACACCUUAGGCUGUGAUGUUUCCUUAUUUUUCUCAUGAUGAAAACAACAAAAGAGUCAUUUAAGUCUCAAAAAGACAACUUAGCCUGUUGUUGUGUGUGUGGGGUGUGUGUGGGUGUGCGUUUGUGUGUGAGUGUGUACCCCACAUGGGCGGAGUGCAGACACCAGGCGCAAACAUCCUCAAUCUGUCCUAAUAGCACAGCAGUAUACAAAGCACAGACUUCAAAUAUAACAUCCAAGCUACGUUCCCUUAUAAAAACACUGUUUACCGUCGCUAUGAUAAUUUACCCAGUAACAUGUGCCCUCCACAAGAGCAAACACCAAGGGAUGCCAAUGUGUGUGUGUGUGUGUGUGUGUGUGUGUGUGUGUGUGUGUGUGUGUGUGUGUGUGUCCUGGCUGACAGAAAUACACAGCAGCAGCUGGGCCCCGUGUUUGAAGGCCUGCCCUCCACACGCCAUAGCUCAACAUAGAGGUACACUGUGACUCCUAGACUAGUUAGUGAGAGGAGGAGAUCGAGGGUGGGCCUGAACUUGUGUAUGCAGGUGUCUGUGACAAAUGAGAUGUUAAUCAUUACUUUCAGCAUUGGAUUUUCUCCCAAACCUUUUCCUUUUUGACUGCGUUGCUGUUUAUGUCGUUCAUUGCCUCAUAUUCAACAAUAGAACACAGCAAAAAAUAGGUGGUCUUUUAUCACAAAACACCACCGACACCUUGAACUUUUAUAUUUUCCAGAUGUUGUGGUGGUCUAUACCAGGUUGGGCUGACGUAAAAAAUAAAAAUAGCAAUAAUUAACUGAGUUUUGCUACCAAUGCCAGAUUGUUCUGAGUAGGUGUCACAUAAGCCGUCCCCCAUUAGUGUCCAAUACCUGCUGCACAUCUCCCUUCUGUCCAGCUGAGCUGUGGAGACUAAUAUAGGGGAACCUGAGACUGGUAGUGCCAGCGCCUGCUUGCCAAAGCCUCCGAGGAGACAGAUGGCACCCUGAAAUCAAUAAACCUCACACAACAUCACCCAUUUUGUGAACAAAUGAAUUUGCUUUGACAGUAUGUGUAUGAGCGAUCGGGUGACCUGCUCUCUUCCUAUCUGAACAUCCUCCCCUCACCUCCCCUAGCGCACAGUUAUUUAUGGCAGUUGGGCCCUAUGCUCCUGUGUGCUUUGAUGUUUAAUUCAAGGACCCACAACCAGGCAGGGAGGAGAGCGUGGGUGUGUUGGGAACUCACAGGGGCUCAGAAGCUCAGGAACUCCUGAUUUCCUACAAAUACACCGUGUGUUGCUCACAGUGGCCUCCGUGACUGCUGAGGGGUUACUCCUCACAGGGCCCGGAUGUGUGGGGAAGAUGACCGGCUUGAGGCCGAUUACAAAUAACUUUU
ensembl:lncRNA